GUCAGUUGGGUGGGCCUGGGCGGGGAUUGGGAGCGGGGUCCUCUGAUUUAGCGGCGGACGGGUGAGUAACACGUGGGUAAUCUGCCUGUAAGACGGGGAUAACUCCGGGAAACCGGGGCUAAUACCGGAUAACAAGAAAAAAAGCAUUUCUCCUUUUUGAAAGUCGGUUUCGGCUGACACUUACAGAUGAGCCCGCGGCGCAUUAGCUAGUUGGUGAGGUAACGGCUCACCAAGGCGACGAUGCGUAGCCGACCUGAGAGGGUGAUCGGCCACACUGGGACUGAGACACGGCCCAGACUCCUACGGGAGGCAGCAGUAGGGAAUCUUCGGCAAUGGGCGAAAGCCUGACCGAGCAACGCCGCGUGAGCGAUGAAGGCCUUCGGGUCGUAAAGCUCUGUUGUUAGAGAAGAACAAGUACGAGAGUAACUGCUCGUACCUUGACGGUACCUAACCAGAAAGCCACGGCUAACUACGUGCCAGCAGCCGCGGUAAUACGUAGGUGGCAAGCGUUAUCCGGAAUUAUUGGGCGUAAAGCGCGCGCAGGCGGUCUCUUAAGUCUGAUGUGAAAGCCCACGGCUCAACCGUGGAGGGUCAUUGGAAACUGGGAGACUUGAGUGCAGGAGAGAAAAGUGGAAUUCCACGUGUAGCGGUGAAAUGCGUAGAGAUGUGGAGGAACACCAGUGGCGAAGGCGGCUUUUUGGCCUGUAACUGACGCUGAGGCGCGAAAGCGUGGGGAGCAAACAGGAUUAGAUACCCUGGUAGUCCACGCCGUAAACGAUGAGUGCUAGGUGUUGGGGGGUUCCACCCUCAGUGCUGAAGUUAACACAUUAAGCACUCCGCCUGGGGAGUACGACCGCAAGGUUGAAACUCAAAGGAAUUGACGGGGGCCCGCACAAGCAGUGGAGCAUGUGGUUUAAUUCGAAGCAACGCGAAGAACCUUACCAGGUCUUGACAUCCUCUGACACUCUAGAGAUAGAGCUUUCCCCUUCGGGGACAGAGUGACAGGUGGUGCAUGAUUGUCGUCAGCUCGUGUCGUGA
rnacentral:rRNA from 2 species